GAUGGGUAUGGGUUUGGGGGUUUCUUUUUUUAUUUUUUUAAUUUUGAGAAUGAAAAUUAUUAAAAUACCCUUAACCUUAAAACUUAGAAUUCAUGAUAUAUAGGAGUAUUUUUGUCUACUGAAACCCGGUACACAUNGCUAAAAUGUACCAACUGAAAAACAGGCGUACGCAAGUUAGCAAACCCCAUAUUAAAAUUUGUC
rnacentral:lncRNA from 1 species